AUGACAUCACUUCCUCUUGUGCCUGUACUUCAUCAUAGCAGAAGCACUCACUUUAUUACAAAGAGCUGACACGAUGAACACUUUCCUUAUCAGAUCUGCAUGUCUGUUGUGGCUAACAGUGGCAAACCAUGCAAAAACUGUUCUCCAGAGACCUGAUGACCUCAUAAAGAACCAAAAUGAAUCGGCUGUUAUCGGCUGUUCUCACAGUAUACAGUACUACAACCGAAUGCUGUGGUACAAACAGAGUCAGGACAUGCCUGGAUUCAAGUUUUUGGGAUACCUUUUUAGUGGUGAAAAUAUAGAGCCUGAAUUUACAGACAAGAUCAAAUUGAAGGGAGAUGCAUCAAAAAAUGGCAGUCUGACUAUCAACAACCUCACACCACAAGACAGCGCAGUGUAUUUCUGUGCAGCAUAUUACACAGUGAUAUAGAUAAUGAAACCUUAAUACAAAAAGCUCUCUAGUCUGUGCCUCUGCAUCAGCUCUGCCUCACCUGCGAAGGGCUCAGGGUUUGAUUUGCGGCCAACAUUGAGGUGAAUUAUCUCGUUAAAUAACAUGUACACAAAUGUCUAAGAGUGUUUGAGGAAUCCCAUAUGAGAACAGAACAAUCCCACCACAUUUUAACCUCAUAGUCAGCUAAAUUGAUACAAAAGUUAUAUACUUAGCAUCCUAGAACAGCAGAGGGAAUUCUUUGGUAAUGCUAAAUCUGGACAGCACUGAAAAAUAUACAUAAUUUAGCGAUUUUAAAAUGCACUUUUAAAGAAUUAUUAACAUACAUACAUACAUAUAUAUAAAGAGAAAACCAUUACUGUUUAUUAUGAUUUUCUCUUUUAACCUUUUUUUGUGUAACUCACUAAUUUGUUGUCAGUGCCCCCAGAGAUGACAUCAUUUCCUACUAGAACUGCCUUCUUGCAUUUAUUUCACAGCACUGUCACCAAAAGUAAAGAUGACUAGCAUUAUUACAAGUGUUUGUGUUUCUCUAGUAUGUCUCACAGUUGUAUUUGGUAAAACUGCUUUCCAGUCACCUGGUGACCUCAUUAAGAACCAGGAUGAAUCUGCUGUAAUCAUAUGUACACACAAUAUAGCAAACUAUGACCGUAUUCUUUGGUACAAAAAAGACAUCAUGGGCUUCAAGUUCAUGGGAUUCCUUAAUCUUGACUUUAAAUACCCAGAGCCUGAAUUUGAAAACAAGAUCAAACUGGAUGGAGAUGGAAGAAAUAAUGGCACUCUGACUAUCAACACCCUCACGCUGACUGACAGUGCAGUGUAUUUCUGUGCAGCAUAUUACACAGUGCUCAGAAUCACCCCUAUCUGAUACAAAAACCCUUCUCAGUUCAAACUUUAAAUUCAGUGCUUAUCAGCAAAUUCACUCCCACUCUGCACCUGGACUUGUGGAGUUUGAAUAACUACCAGUAAUGAGAAAAACAAAGUCUUAGCAUUGCACAAAUAAAUUGUUCCUUCCUUCAUAUAAAACUGAUUAAUUUAAAAUAGACUUCUAAUAGACUGAAUUUAUCG
ensembl:lncRNA